rnacentral:rRNA from 1 species
AAGGUUGACCUCGGAUCAGGUAGGACUACCCGCUGAACUUAACAUAUCAAUAAGCGGAGGAAAAGAAACCAACAGGGAUUGCCCCAGUAACGGCGAGUGAAGCGGCAACAGCUCAAAUUUGAAAUCUGGCCCUCGGGUCCGAGUUGUAAUUUGGAGAGGAUGCUUUUGGCGCGGCGCCGUCCGAGUUCCUUGGAACAGGACGCCAUAGAGGGUGAGAGCCCCGUACGGGCGGCCGCCUAGCCUUUGUAAAGCUCCUUCGACGAGUCGAGUAGUUUGGGAAUGCUGCUCAAAAUGGGAGGUAAAUUUCUUCUAAAGCUAAAUACCGGCCAGAGACCGAUAGCGCACAAGUAGAGUGAUCGAAAGAUGAAAAGCACUUUGAAAAGAGAG